AUGGCAGUGGAGGCCACCUUCUCUGGUGGGGGACGACUCAAUGGAGCUCCAGCUGCUGAGGGAGAGAUCAGCAUUAUGAUCUUCCCAGCAGUGGACCAAUGGGAGGGACCCACCAAGCUCCCACUGCUCCAAAAGGAAGCCAGAAGCCUCCUGCUCAUCCGAGAGCCACCACUGGCCACUCUCCCAGCUUCCCAGAGAGAAGCCCUAGCCCUGCCGUGGACCUGGCAUUUCUGCCCCUUGUCCCUGCCCUUAAGCCACAAGAGGCUUUCUCUGGCCUGUUUGUGGACUCCUGGUGAGACGGCAGUUUGCUUGGCAGGCCAGGCGGGACACAUCAGACCCCGGCUGUCCCUUUUGUCCCCUGGUCUGGGAUUUCCCCUCGUGGGAGAGUGCCCACCUGGCCUAGCAAAGGCCUCCGCUGCCAGCAAGAGCAGACCGGAGCAGGAGCAAGCUUCCAACCCCAACAGGAAGCAUCACAAGAUUUCCGAGAAGGAGGCCUCGGCAAGGAUGGGCAGCAGGGAGAGGCCACAUCGGGGCACAAGGGGCGGCAGCUGUAGGAAGGACGGUCAGCACAUGGCUCCUCUGUGCCAGGCGCUUGACACAGAGCAGACUGUUCAUCCUCACUCCGCCCUACGAGGGAGGGCUCCCAUCAUUAGGACACAACCAGCGGGAAACAGAGUCACACGGUGGAUAAGCAACUCCCAGACCACGCCCGGCUCCAAGCUGCGCAGACUCUCUGCUCUUUAUCCUGUGGGAGACGGGCAGCUGGCACAGAGGAUCAGGGGGGCUGUGUGGUCAGACCUGGCCCUGAGCUGUGCCCAUCCCCCAUCGGGCAGGUGGAAGCGGCAGCCCCAGGCCUGUCACUCCUGGGCCAGCAGCCACUCCUCACCCUCGGCCUGCCAUUCCCACGGCGGCACGCCCUCAGAUCCCGCUGGCCUGGCAGCUGCCCGCCUGGCACCCCACAGUGGCACUGCCAUCCCCCUAAGCAGGUUGCCAGAUCCAGCAAGUAAAAAUAUGGGGGCCCUGUGA
rnacentral:lncRNA from 1 species